UACGGCCACAUUACACUGCAACAGCAGCUCCUAUACGAUCACAGAAGUUAAGCAAUGUCAAGCCUGGCGAGUAACUAGAUGGGUGACUACUUGGGAAUACUAGGUGCUGUAAG